rnacentral:rRNA from 1 species
GAUGAACGCUGGCGGCGUGCUUAACACAUGCAAGUCGAACGAUGAAGCCCAGCUUGCUGGGUGGAUUAGUGGCGAACGGGUGAGUAACACGUGAGUAACCUGCCCUUGACUCUGGGAUAAGCCUGGGAAACUGGGUCUAAUACUGGAUAUGACUUCUCAUCGCAUGGUGGGGGGUGGAAAGAUUUAUUGGUCUUGGAUGGACUCGCGGCCUAUCAGCUUGUUGGUGAGGUAAUGGCUCACCAAGGCGACGACGGGUAGCCGGCCUGAGAGGGUGACCGGCCACACUGGGACUGAGACACGGCGCAGACUCCUACGGGAGGCAGCAGUGGGGAAUAUUGCACAAUGGGCGCAAGCCUGAUGCAGCGACGCCGCGUGAGGGAUGACGGCCUUCGGGUUGUAAACCUCUUUCAGUAGGGAAGAAGCGAGAGUGACGGUACCUGCAGAAGAAGCGCCGGCUAACUACGUG